UACAGAGGUCUCAAGCGUUUGUUCGGAUUCAUUGGGCGUAAAAGGGUGUGUAGGUGGCGCGCUAAGUCGGGGUGUGAAAAUUUUCGGAGCUUUAACUCCGAAAACUGCAUUCGAUACUGGCGUGCUUUGAGGACUGGAGAGGAGACUGGAAAUUUUACGGUGUAGCAGUGAAAAUGCGUAGAUAUCGGGGAGGAACACCAGUGGCGAAGGCGACUACCUGGCCUGUUUCUUUGACGCU
rnacentral:rRNA from 1 species